rnacentral:lncRNA from 1 species
AGAAACCCCCCAAAAAAAGUUUAACAUUAUUUUUUUUUUAAAAAACACAGAGAGUCCCCAUGGCCCCUCUCUCGCGCAGUCCCCUCUUCCGACUUAGGGCUCCUCCGACGUUCAACUACGCCGUCGUCGACUUACGACCGGCGACACGAUGGGAUGGGCUUUGCAGCCCCGUUUAACGGCGUCCUUGAGAGCCAAGACUCUCUCCACCCAUGGGAGUCGAAAACAAGGGAGGUUCUCGGCCUCUUGGACCCGAUUUGGACGACGGAGGAGAGACCCUCCGACGACGGAACCAAGGCCACUUCCAGUGAGUUCCCUCUCCCUUUAUUUUGAUUUUGAUUUUUUUUAUUAUAGUUAUUAAAAAAUAGAUUUGCAAAAGAAGAAAAAAUGUAAGAUAAAACAAGUAAACAAAUAAAAAAAGGAAAACGAAGAGGAAAUAACAAGGAUCCAAUCUUUCAAAAUUUCUGUGUUUCUUUCUGAUUUUUUCUGUUCAUCCAAACGAAGAAGCCGAUACAUGAGCAGUGCUUGGGGUUUUUUAUAACCCGAUUACCAAUGCUUUUAUCUCUAUUUUGUUUUUUUACAUUAUUUUUUCUUUGUUGUUGCGUCUACUUGUUGGCUUUGCAGGUGCCUGUGGCUGACAGUGGUGGCAGAAGCGUGCGAGUGGAGGCGUGGGCUGGAGGCGUGGCAGACGAGGGCGUGGCAGACGAGGGGGCCACGCAUGGAAGCUUGCGACGGCUAGCUUGGGGAAGCAAACUAAGGUUUGCUGAAAAUGGGGUUAAUCUUGGGCUAGGGUUAUGUUUGUUUUGGGUUUAGGGUUAAUUUUGGGUAGUUUGGACCAUAUGAAAUUUGGGCUGCAAUUUAGACUUUAUUUCAUGUAUUUGGUUUAUGUUUUAUUUUUAUUUUGUUUUUGUUUUGGCACUGGGCCAGGGCAAAAUGGGCUCGUACACCCUCCAUGGGUUCUGAUCUCAUCUCCCACCAGUUGAAGAUUCUCCUCCAAAAUCCUUUAACGAAUUUACAUUUAAAGAACAAAUGAUUCACUCUUUCCAACUCUUUAUCGCACCAUGGACAUUCCUUCGCUUCACCUUUCCAAAAAACUCUAUUGUGGGAAGUCUUCCUAAUGCCAGCAUCCAAAGAAAAACUUCUUACCCUGGGUGGCACCUUCAUCUUCCAAAUUUUAUCGAAAUCAAAACUUAAAUCCUCCACCCCCUUCUCCAUCAAUAAAUCUGACAUUCUCUUUACCAAAAAAUCUCCCUUAUUAUCAUGUAGCCAUAUCAAUCAGUCCUCCUUCUCAUGAGCUAACUUUACUUUUGUUACCUCCUCAACCAUUUUCUCAAGCAUAUCCACCUCUGUCAAGC